AUUGAACGCUGGCGGAAUGCUUUACACAUGCAAGUCGAACGGCAGCACGGACUUCGGUCUGGUGGCGAGUGGCGAACGGGUGAGUAAUGUAUCGGAACGUGCCCAGUCGUGGGGGAUAACGUAGCGAAAAUUACGCUAAUACCGCAUACGAUCUAUGGAUGAAAGCGGGGGAUCGCAAGACCUCGCGCGAUUGGAGCGGCCGAUAUCAGAUUAGGUAGUUGGUGGGGUAAAGGCCCACCAAGCCAACGAUCUGUAGCUGGUCUGAGAGGACGACAAGCCACACUGGAACUGAGACACGGUCCAGACUCCUAAGGGAGGCGGCAGUGGGGAAUUUUGGACAAUGAGCGAAAGCCUGAUCCAGCCAUUCCGCGUGCAGGAUGAAGGCCCUCGGGUUGUAAACUGCUUUUGUACAGAACGAAAAGGUUUCUACUAAUACUAGGAGCUCAUGACGGUACUGUAAGAAUAAGCACCGGCUAACUACGUGCCAGCCGCCGCCGUAA
rnacentral:rRNA from 1 species